UACGUAGGGGGCAAGCGUUGUCCGGAUUUAUUGGGCGUAAAGGGCGCGUAGGCGGCGCGGUAAGUCACUUGUGAAAUCUCUGAGCUUAACUCAGAACGGCCAAGUGAUACUGCAGUGCUAGAGUGUGGAAGGGGCAAUCGGAAUUCUUGGUGUAGCGGUGAAAUGCGUAGAUAUCAAGAGGAACACCUGAGGUGAAGACGGGUUGCUGGGCCAACACUGACGCUGAGGCGCGAAAGCCAGGGGAGCAAACGGG
rnacentral:rRNA from 1 species